AGGUAAGCUACUAAGAGCGAAUGGUGGAUGCCUUGACUGGUAAAGGCGAUGAAGGACGUACUAGACUGCGAUAAGCUACGGGGAGCUGUCAAGAAGCUUUGAUCCGUAGAUUUCCGAAUGGGUCAACCCAAUGUAUAGAGAUAUACAUUACCUAUAUAGGAGCGAACGAGGGGAAUUGAAACAUCUUAGUACCCUCAGGAAAAGAAAUCAAUAGAGAUUGCGUCAGUAGCGGCGAGCGAAAGCGCAAGAGGGCAAACCCAGUGCUUGCACUGGGGGUUGUAGGACUGCAAUGUGCAAGAGGUAAGUUUAGCAGAACAUUCUGGAAAGUAUAACCAUAGAGGGUGAUAGUCCCGUAUGCGAAAAACAAACCUUAGCUAGCAGUAUCCUGAGUAGGGCGGGACACGAGGAAUCCUGUCUGAAUCCGGGUCGACCACGAUCCAACCCUAAAUACUAAUACCAGAUCGAUAGUGCACAAGUACCGUGAGGGAAAGGUGAAAAGAACUGAGGUGAUCAGAGUGAAAUAGAACCUGAAACCAUUUGCUUACAAUCAUUCAGAGCCCUAUGUAGCAAUACAGGGUGAUGGACUGCCUUUUGCAUAAUGAGCCUGCGAGUUGUGGUGUCUGGCAAGGUUAAGCAAACGCGAAGCCGUAGCGAAAGCGAGUCUGAAUAGGGCGCUUAGUCAGAUGCUGCAGACCCGAAACGAAGUGAUCUAUCCAUGAGCAAGUUGAAGCUAGUGUAAGAACUAGUGGAGGACUGAACCCAUAGGCGUUGAAAAGCCCCGGGAUGACUUGUGGAUAGGGGUGAAAGGCCAAUCAAACUUCGUGAUAGCUGGUUCUCUCCGAAAUAUAUUUAGGUAUAGCGUUGUGUCGUAAUAUAAGGGGGUAGAGCACUGAAUGGGCUAGGGCAUACACCAAUGUACCAAACCCUAUCAAACUCCGAAUACCUUAUAUGUAAUCACAGCAGUCAGGCGGCGAGUGAUAAAAUCCGUCGUCAAGAGGGAAACAACCCAGACUACCAGCUAAGGUCCCUAAAUCUUACUUAAGUGGAAAACGAUGUGAAGUUACUUAAACAACCAGGAGGUUGGCUUAGAAGCAGCCAUCCUUUAAAGAAAGCGUAAUAGCUCACUGGUCUAGUGAUUUUGCGCGGAAAAUAUAACGGGGCUAAAGUAAGUACCGAAGCUGUAGACUUAGUUUACUAAGUGGUAGGAGAGCGUUCUAUUUGCGUCGAAGGUAUACCGGUAAGGAGUGCUGGAGCGAAUAGAAGUGAGCAUGCAGGCAUGAGUAGCGAUAAUUAAUGUGAGAAUCAUUAACGCCGUAAACCCAAGGUUUCCUACGCGAUGCUCGUCAUCGUAGGGUUAGUCGGGUCCUAAGUCGAGUCCGAAAGGGGUAGACGAUGGCAAAUUGGUUAAUAUUCCAAUACCAACAUUAGUGUGCGAUGGAAGGACGCUUAGGGCUAAGGGGGCUAGCGGAUGGAAGUGCUAGUCUAAGGUCGUAGGAGGUUGUACAGGCAAAUCCGUAUAACAAUACUCCGAGAACUGAAAGGCUUUUUGAAGUCUUCGGAUGGAUAGAAGAACCCCUGAUGCCGUCGAGCCAAGAAAAGU
rnacentral:rRNA from 1 species